rnacentral:rRNA from 1 species
UACGGGGGGGGCAAGCGUUGUUCGGAAUUACUGGGCGUAAAGGGCUUGUAGGUGGCCAACUAAGUCAGACGUGAAAUCCCUCGGCUUAACCGGGGAACUGCGUCUGAUACUGGAUGGCUUGAGUGUGGGAGAGGGAUGCGGAAUUCCAGGUGUAGCGGUGAAAUGCGUAGAGAUCAGGAAGAACAUCAGUGGCGAAGGCGGUCUGCUGGGCCGUUGCUGACGCUGAGGCGCGACAGCGUGGGGAGCAAACAGG